AUGCGUCUGAAGGUACCUCCAAAGGAAGCUCCGGCUAACUCCGUGCCAGCAGCCGCGGUAAUACGGAGGGAGCAAACGUUGUUCGGAUUUACUGGGUGUAAAGGGUGCGUAGGCGGCUACGUGUGUCAGAGGUGAAAGCUCACGGCUCAACCGUGGAACUGCCUUUGAAACUGCGUAGCUUGAGUCCGAGAGAGGAUGGUGGAAUUCCUGGUGUAACGGUGAAAUGUGCAGAUAUCAGGAAGAACACCGGUGGCGAAGGCGGGCCAUCUGGCUCGGUACUGACGCUGAGGCACGAAAGCUAUGGUAUCGAACGGGAUUAGAUACCCCGGUAGUCCUAGCCGUAAACGAUGUCCACUAGGUGUCGGAGGUCCUACCCCUUCGGUGCCGGAGCUAACGCAUUAAGUGGACCACCUGGGGAGUACGCUCGCAAGGGUGAAACUCAGAGGAAUUGACGGGGGCCCGCACAAGCGGUGGAGCAUGUGGUUUAAUUCGAUGCAACGCGAAGAACCUUACCUGGGCUUGACAUGCAGGGGACAGGUGUAGAGAUACACCCUUCUUCGGACUCCUGUACAGGUGCUGCAUGGCUGUCGUCAGCUCGUGUCGUGAAAUGUUGGGUUAAGUCCCGCAACGAGCGCAACCCUUGUCCUUAGUUGCCAGCACGUCAUGGUGGGAACUCUAGGGAGACUGCCGGUGACAAACCGGAGGAAGGUGGGGACGACGUCAAGUCAUCAUGGCCCUUACGUCCAGGGCUACACACGUGCUACAAUGGCACAUACAGAGGGCAGCGAACCCGCGAGGGGAAGCCAAUCCCAAAAAGUGUGCCUCAGUUCGGAUCGCAGUCUGCAACUCGACUGCGUGAAGUCGGAAUCG
rnacentral:rRNA from 1 species